UGGGGAAUUGUUCACAAUGGGCGCAAGCCUGAUGACGCAACGCCGCGUGGGGGAUGAAGGUCUUCGGAUUGUAAACCCCUGUCGAAUGGGACGAAAGACUCGCGAGUUAAUACUUCGCGGGAGUGACGGUACCGUUAAAGGAAGCCACGGCUAACUCUGUGCCAGCAGCCGCGGUAAUACAGAGGUGGCAAGCGUUGUUCGGAAUUACUGGGCGUAAAGGGCGCGUAGGCGGCCUACUAAGUCAGACGUGAAAUCCCCCGGCUUAACCUGGGAACUGCGUCUGAUACUGGAAGGCUUGAGUAUGGGAGAGGGAUGUAGAAUUCCGGGUGUAGCGGUGAAAUGCGUAGAUAUCCGGAGGAACACCAGUGGCGAAGGCGGCUCCCUGGACCCAAACUGACGCUGAGGCACGAAAGCGUGGGUAGCAAACAGGAUUAGAUACCCUUGUAGUCCCUGAGCGGGCUGGCAAGGCGCAU
rnacentral:rRNA from 1 species